rnacentral:tRNA from 2 species
UUUCUUGUAGUGUAAAUAACACAUCGAUUUUUCGUGUCGAAGAUGGAAUAUCCUAAGGGUU